UCUCUCAAAUCUUUAAAAAAAAAAUUGUGGUUUUUUUUUUUUAAAGAAGUUUUGUGGCUAUAUUGAAACACAAGUUAUGCUUCCAUCACAGCAGAUCUAUUGCAGUGGUGACAAUGAGACUUGUAACGUUU
rnacentral:snoRNA from 1 species